ACGAACGCUGGCGGCGUGCUUAACACAUGCAAGUCGAACGGUGAAGCUCCAGCUUGCUGGAGUGGAUCAGUGGCGAACGGGUGAGUAACACGUGAGCAACCUGCCCCUGACUCUGGAAUAAGCGCUGGAAACGGCGUCUAAUACUGGAUACGAGAAGGGUCCGCAUGGGCACUUUCUGGAAAGUUUUUCGGUUGGGGAUGGGCUCGCGGCCUAUCAGCUUGUUGGUGAGGUAAUGGCUCGCCAAGGCGACGACGGGUAGCCGGCCUGAGAGGGCGACCGGCCACACUGGGACUGAGACACGGCCCAGACCCCUACGGGAGGCAGCAGUGGGGAAUAUUGCACAAUGGGCGAAAGCCUGAUGCAGCGACGCCGCGUGAGGGAUGACGGCCUUCGGGUUGUAAACCUCUUUCAGCAGGGAAGAAGCGAAAGUGACGGUACCUGCAGAAGAAGCACCGGCUAACUACGUG
rnacentral:rRNA from 1 species